rnacentral:rRNA from 1 species
GACGAACGCUGGCGGCGUGCCUAAUACAUGCAAGUAGAACGCUGAAGAGAGGAGCUUGCUCUUCUUGGAUGAGUUGCGAACGGGUGAGUAACGCGUAGGUAACCUGCCUUGUAGCGGGGGAUAACUAUUGGAAACGAUAGCUAAUACCGCAUAACAAUGGAUGACACAUGUCAUUUAUUUGAAAGGGGCAAUUGCUCCACUACAAGAUGGACCUGCGUUGUAUUAGCUAGUAGGUGAGGUAAUGGCUCACCUAGGCGACGAUACAUAGCCGACCUGAGAGGGUGAUCGGCCACACUGGGACUGAGACACGGCCCAGACUCCUACGGGAGGCAGCAGUAGGGAAUCUUCGGCAAUGGGGGCAACCCUGACCGAGCAACGCCGCGUGAGUGAAGAAGGUUUUCGGAUCGUAAAGCUCUGUUGUAAGUCAAGAACGGGUGUGAGAGUGGAAAGUUCACACUGUGACGGUAGCUUACCAGAAAGGGACGGCUAACUACGUGCCAGCAGCCGCGGUAAUACGUAGGUCCCGAGCGUUGUCCGGAUUUAUUGGGCGUAAAGCGAGCGCAGGCGGUUUGAUAAGUCUGAAGUUAAAGGCUGUGGCUCAACCAUAGUUCGCUUUGGAAACUGUCAAACUUGAGUGCAGAAGGGGAGAGUGGAAUUCCAUGUGUAGCGGUGAAAUGCGUAGAUAUAUGGAGGAACACCGGUGGCGAAAGCGGCUCUCUGGUCUGUAACUGACGCUGAGGCUCGAAAGCGUGGGGAGCGAACAGGAUUAGAUACCCUGGUAGUCCACGCCGUAAACGAUGAGUGCUAGGUGUUGGAUCCUUUCCGGGAUUCAGUGCCGCAGCUAACGCAUUAAGCACUCCGCCUGGGGAGUACGACCGCAAGGUUGAAACUCAAAGGAAUUGACGGGGGCCCGCACAAGCGGUGGAGCAUGUGGUUUAAUUCGAAGCAACGCGAAGAACCUUACCAGGUCUUGACAUCCCGAUGCUAUUUCUAGAGAUAGAAAGUUACUUCGGUACAUCGGUGACAGGUGGUGCAUGGUUGUCGUCAGCUCGUGUCGUGAGAUGUUGGGUUAAGUCCCGCAACGAGCGCAACCCCUAUUGUUAGUUGCCAUCAUUCAGUUGGGCACUCUAGCGAGACUGCCGGUAAUAAACCGGAGGAAGGUGGGGAUGACGUCAAAUCAUCAUGCCCCUUAUGACCUGGGCUACACACGUGCUACAAUGGUUGGUACAACGAGUUGCGAGUCGGUGACGGCGAGCUAAUCUCUUAAAGCCAAUCUCAGUUCGGAUUGUAGGCUGCAACUCGCCCUACAUGAAGUCGGAAUCGCUAGUAAUCGCGGAUCAGCACGCCGCGGUGAAUACGUUCCCGGGCCU